GAUGAACGCUGGCGGCGUGCCUAAUACAUGCAAGUCGAGCGAACGGACGAGAAGCUUGCUCCUCUGAUGUUAGCGGCGGACGGGUGAGUAACACGUGGAUAACCUACCUAUAAGACUGGGAUAACUUCGGGAAACCGGAGCUAAUACCGGAUGAUAUUUUGAACCGCAUGGUUCAAUAGUGAAAGACGGUCUUGCUGUCACUUAUAGAUGGAUCCGCGCUGCAUUAGCUAGUUGGUAAGGUAACGGCUUACCAAGGCAACGAUGCAUAGCCGACCUGAGAGGGGGAUCGGCAAAACGGAAAUGGAGACACGGUCCAAACUCUAAGGGAGGGAAGAAGAAGGAAACCUCCCGAAAUGGGCGAAAGCCUGAGGGGGCAACGCGGCGUAAGGGAUGAAGGUCUCCGGAUCGUAAAACCUUGUAAUUAGGGAAGAAAAAAGGGGAAAGAAACAGGGCACAUCUGAACGGUACUAAAUCAGAAGGCAACGGUUAACUACGU
rnacentral:rRNA from 1 species